rnacentral:rRNA from 1 species
UACGUAGGGGGCAAGCGUUGUCCGGAAUUACUGGGCGUAAAGCGCGUGUAGGCUGUUCGGAAAGUCAGGUGUGAAAGCCCUGGGCUCAACCCAGGAAGUGCACUUGAAACUCCCGAACUGGAGUCCCGGAGAGGAAGGCGGAAUUCUCGGUGUAGAGGUGAAAUUCGUAGAUAUCGAGAGGAACAUCGGUGGCGAAGGCGGCCUUCUGGACGGUGACUGACGCUGAGACGCGAAAGCGUGGGGAGCAAACAGG